AUCAGAAACGUUGGCAUUGCUAGGUGGGAAAAUCUUCUUCUAAAAAUCUUAUGACGUUUGUGUCAGAAAUGAGUCAGAAAGAUGUCUAGAAAGAAGAAAACAAGAACAAGAAAACACAAAUAAACAGCAGAGUGUAGAACCAUAGAUGUUGAGGAUGCCUGCUGGGGUAUCCUGGCCUCAAUAUUUAACUUUCUUUGCAGUCAGUUCAGCAACUUGCCUGACAGGAAGUCAGGUGGUGCACUUGUACUACAGACCAAAUCUGGAAAUUCCAGAUGUACCCCCUGAUCCAAAGGACUUUCUAGAACAAACAGAAUGGAGAAAACAUAUUUCCAUAAAAAGAAACUAGUUGUGAAUACAAUUCAAUUGAAAAAGAUUGAAUUAGUUGAUGAUAAG